AUUGAACGCUGGCGGAAUGCUUAACACAUGCAAGUCGAGCGGCAGCAUGCCCUUCGGGGUGAUGGCGAGCGGCGGACGGGUGAGUAAUACAUAGGAAUCUGCCCUUAAGUGGGGGAUAGCCCGGGGAAACUCGGAUUAAUACCGCAUAAUCUCUUCGGAGCAAAGUGGGGGAUCUUCGGACCUCACGCUGAAGGAUGAGCCUAUGGCC
rnacentral:rRNA from 1 species